UUAAUCGAUCGAAAUGAUACUGUACAACAAACCGAUAUUGAUACGGCAAUGAAUAAAAUUUGUGAAAUAUUUAACAGCUCUUCCAUCUCAGUGUUUGGAACAAAAUGUAAAAACCAGAAAUAUGCAAAGCACAAUGAAAAACCAUGGUAUAAAAGAGGAUGCAAGAGCAAAAGAAAUUUAUUUCAUCAGGCUAGACAAAGAUACGGGAACUUAAAGAGAGUAAAGAAAAUAAAAAAGCUUUAAAAGAAG
rnacentral:lncRNA from 1 species